rnacentral:misc_RNA from 1 species
AUAGGAAGUUCCAACAAACAAUCCUGUUUGUUCUAUGUUAGGUGCAUCCUUUUGGUUCUCAACAAUAGAGGGAACUGGCUUUGAGGCUUCUGAAUUUGCUUUUUGUUGCUGGAUGAGUUAAUUGCAUUGAUGGGUUUUCUUCUAUUUCAUUCUUUGGAAGUUAUUACUUCUGUUGAUUGAUGUCAUUGAUUUAUUUUAUUUUAUGGAUUUGGCAUGUUGGGCUUACUUCCAUCUGAUGGAUUUAAAGUUUUCAUUGAGGCUUUGUGGGAACCCCUCUUUAAGUUAUUCUUCUCCUCAAUGAUGACUGGGUAUGGUCAUUCUG